UACGGAGGGAGCUAGCGUUGUUCGGAAUUACUGGGCGUAAAGCGCGCGUAGGCGGCGUUUCAAGUCAGAGGUGAAAGCCUGGAGCUCAACUCCAGAACUGCCUUUGAAACUAGAACGCUAGAAUCUUGGAGAGGUCAGUGGAAUUCCGAGUGUAGAGGUGAAAUUCGUAGAUAUUCGGAAGAACACCAGUGGCGAAGGCGACUGACUGGACAAGUAUUGACGCUGAGGUGCGAAAGCGUGGGGAGCAAACAGG
rnacentral:rRNA from 1 species